AAAAAGCUCACAAUGAUUUUUGUCUCCAGCAGGCAGUGUGUAGCAAUGGCUUCUAGGUUGAAGACAUACAACUAAAAAACUGGAUGUGACCCUCUUAACAGUUUUUUCAGAGUAAGGGAGAGCAACACACAGAGAUAGAAAGAGCGAGAAGGCAAAGAGAAGACACUGAAGACAAACUUGGCCAUUUAAGGUCCUCCUUAGCCUCAUUUUCUCCAGCUGAAGAUCUUUAGAUUCCAUUAUCAUUUAUGGAAUGCACUGAUCCACGGAUCAAGCUUAUAUACACAUUUAGGGGCUAUCCAUUGACUGAUCCAGCCCACCAAUGCAUGAAGCUGAGGACUACUUUGAAAACACAGAGAGAGACCAGAAAAUGCCAUGGCUUAAGCAAAAAACUGCUUCUGGAAAUGAUUUAAAUAAACAAAAUUAGAUACACAAAAA